AAAGGAAAAAAAAUUUUUGGGUAUGAAAUGAUUCCAACGCUCAUUAGAAAUAAAGUUUCUGUUUGAACGUCUGAAUAAGUUAUAUCUAAUAAUGAUUUAUUUGGUAUGAAAAUUUUUACGUACCAUUAAAAGCAAAAGAGUAUAAUAUUACUUCUGAAAAAUUUUGGGAUCUACAGAAAAUUUUCUCACAUGAUUGGACAUAGGAAAAUCGAUUUUUUACUUUUUAAGAGUCUUAAUAUAUCUACGAUUUGGUGAAAUAGUAUAUUUCAUCUGUAAGUCGAUUUAUCAAUAAUAUAACUUGAAGGCCGAAUACGGUAUGAAUAUACGUACGUACUUUGUAAUUAGCUAGACGUUAAUUCAAUCAGUCUCUUCAUCUGCUAAAUAUUAAUUAUAAGUAUCUUUGAAUAAAUCAAAGAGUUCUGCUGAACAAAAU
rnacentral:lncRNA from 1 species